UACGGAGGAUCCAAGCGUUAUCCGGAUUUAUUGGGUUUAAAGGGUGCGUAGGCGGUUUAUUAAGUCAGUGGUGAAAGCCUGGAGCUUAACUCCAGAACUGCCAUUGAUACUGAUGGGCUUGAGUACAGUUGAGGUGGGCGGAAUGUGUCAUGUAGCGGUGAAAUGCUUAGAUAUGACACAGAACACCGAUUGCGAAGGCAGCUCGCUAAACUGUAACUGACGCUGAGGCACGAAAGCGUGGGUAGCAAACAGG
rnacentral:rRNA from 1 species